rnacentral:misc_RNA from 1 species
AAGUCGUAACAAGGUAACCGUAGGUGAACCUGCGGUUGGAUCAUUAGUGGUUUUUACGUAGCGCUGUUGUAGUGUUUCUGGGGGGUGUUUGUGUGUGGUCUUUGCGUUUGUUGUUGGUUGUUUGUCUGUUUUUGUGCGAUGUCUUGUGCAUUGCCUUGUGCAGUGCCUUGUGCGUUGCCUUGCAGUACAAACGAUCGACGGCAACACUCGGACCAGACCCAAGACCUUUACAGACAAUAGACGUCUUUGCUUGCUUUGAUGAAACCAAAUCAAAAACAACUUUUGACAACGGAUCUCUUGGCUCUC